UUCGCAAUGCCCGAAAGGGUGACGAUGCGGCGCCGCGUGAGCGAAGAAGGCCCUAGGGUUGUAAAGCUCUGUCGAGGGUUAUGAAAUAUAGAUGGGUUAAUACCCCAUUUAUUUGACAAAAGCCCAAAAGGAAGCCACGGCUAACUCUGUGCCAGCAGCCGCGGUAAUACAGAGGUGGCGAGCGUUGUUCGGUAUUAUUGGGCGUAAAGAGCACGUAGGUGGUUUUGUAAGUCAGGUGUGAAAGCCUUCUGUUCAAAGGAAGGACGGCAUCUGAAACUGCAUAUCUUGAGUGUAGGAGGGGAGAGUGGAACUUCUGGUGGAGCGGUGAAAUGCGUAGAUAUCAGAAGGAACGUCGGCGGCGAAAGCGACUCUCUGGCCUAUUACUGACACUGAGGUGCGAAAGUUAGGGGAGCAAACGGGAUUAGAUACCCCGGUAGUCCUAACCGUAAACGAUGGGCACUAAGUAGAGGGGUUUU
rnacentral:rRNA from 1 species